rnacentral:rRNA from 1 species
AGAUUGAACGCUGGCGGCAGGCCUAACACAUGCAAGUCGAGCGGUAGAGAGGUGCUUGCAUCUCUUGAGAGCGGCGGACGGGUGAGUAAUGCCUAGGAAUCUGCCUAGUGGUGGGGGAUAACGUUCGGAAACGGACGCUAAUACCGCAUACGUCCUACGGGAGAAAGCGGGGGACCUUCGGGCCUCGCGCCAUUAGAUGAGCCUAGGUCGGAUUAGCUAGUUGGUGAGGUAAUGGCUCACCAAGGCGACGAUCCGUAACUGGUCUGAGGAGAUGAUCAGUCACACUGGAACUGAGACACGGUCCAGACCUCCGUACGGGACGGCAGCAGGUGGGGAAUAUUGGACAAGUGGGCGAAAGCCUGACGUCCACGCCAUGCCGCGUGUGUGAAGAAGGUC